AGAGUUUGAUCCUGGCUCAGGAUGAACGCUGGCGGCGUGCUUAACACAUGCAAGUCGAACGAACCUUCGGGUUAGUGGCGGACGGGUGAGUAACGCGUGGGAACCUGCCCUCAGGAGGGGGAUAACGGUUGGAAACGGCCGCUAAUACCCCAUAUGCCGAGAGGUGAAACGAAUUUCGCCUGAGGAUGGGCCCGCGUCUGAUUAGCUAGUUGGUGGGGUAAGAGCCUACCAAGGCGACGAUCAGUAGCUGGUCUGAGAGGAUGAUCAGCCACACUGGGACUGAGACACGGCCCAGACUCCUACGGGAGGCAGCAGUGGGGAAUUUUCCGCAAUGGGCGAAAGCCUGACGGAGCAACGCCGCGUGAGGGAUGAAGGCCUCUGGGCUGUAAACCUCUUUUCUCAAGGAAGAAGACCUGACGGUACUUGAGGAAUAAGCCACGGCUAAUUCCGUGCCAGCAGCCGCGGUAAUACGGGAGUGGCAAGCGUUAUCCGGAAUUAUUGGGCGUAAAGCGUCCGCAGGUGGCCCUGUAAGUCUGUCGUUAAAGCGUGGAGCUUAACUCCAUUUAAGCGAUGGAAACUACAGGGCUAGAGUGUGGUAGGGGCAGAGGGAAUUCCCGGUGUAGCGGUGAAAUGCGUAGAUAUCGGGAAGAACACCAGUGGCGAAGGCGCUCUGCUGGGCCAUCACUGACACUCAUGGACGAAAGCCAGGGGAGCGAAAGGGAUUAGAUACCCCUGUAGUCCUGGCCGUAAACGAUGAACACUAGGUGUCGGGGGAAUCGACCCCCUCGGUGUCGUAGCCAACGCGUUAAGUGUUCCGCCUGGGGAGUACGCACGCAAGUGUGAAACUCAAAGGAAUUGACGGGGGCCCGCACAAGCGGUGGAGUAUGUGGUUUAAUUCGAUGCAACGCGAAGAACCUUACCAGGGUUUGACAUCCUGCGAAUCCCUUGGAAACGAGGGAGUGCCUUCGGGAGCGCAGAGACAGGUGGUGCAUGGCUGUCGUCAGCUCGUGUCGUGAGAUGUUGGGUUAAGUCCCGCAACGAGCGCAACCCACGUCGUUAGUUGCCAGCAUUCAGUUGGGCACUCUAGCGAGACCGCCGGUGAUAAACCGGAGGAAGGUGUGGAUGACGUCAAGUCAUCAUGCCCCUUACAUCCUGGGCUACACACGUACUACAAUGCUACGGACAAAGGGCAGCGAUCCCGCGAGGGCUAGCAAAUCCCAUAAACCGUGGCUCAGUUCAGAUCGUAGGCUGCAACUCGCCUACGUGAAGGAGGAAUCGCUAGUAAUCGCAGGUCAGCAUACUGCGGUGAAUACGUUCCCGGGCCUUGUACACACCGCCCGUCACACCAUGGAAGUUGGCCACGCCCGAAGUCGUUACUCCAACCCUUGUGGAGGAGGACGCCGAAGGUGGGGCUGAUGACUGGGGUGAAGUCGUAACAAGGUA
rnacentral:rRNA from 1 species